GAUGAACGCUGGCGGCGUGCCUAAUACAUGCAAGUCGAGCGAACGGACGAGAAGCUUGCUUCUCUGAUGUUAGCGGCGGACGGGUGAGUAACACGUGGAUAACCUACCUAUAAGACUGGGAUAACUUCGGGAAACCGGAGCUAAUACCGGAUAAUAUUUUGAACCGCAUGGUUCAAAAGUGAAAGACGGUCUUGCUGUCACUUAUAGAUGGAUCCGCGCUGCAUUAGCUAGUUGGUAAGGUAACGGCUUACCAAGGCAACGAUGCAUAGCCGACCUGAGAGGGUGAUCGGCCACACUGGAACUGAGACACGGUCCAGACUCCUACGGGAGGCAGCAGUAGGGAUUCUUCCGCAAUGGGCGAAAGCCUGACGGAGCAACGCCGCGUGAGUGAUGAAGGUCUUCGGAUCGUAAAACUCUGUUAUUAGGGAAGAACAUAUGUGUAAGUAACUGUGCACAUCUUGACGGUACCUAAGCAGAAAACCACGGCUAACUACGU
rnacentral:rRNA from 1 species